CCCUGCAUUCGAAAGUGACUUUGGCACUGUUUCCGUGGCCAGGUCAUUGAUGCUGCAGGGAGAGGAACUCGGGGCUUUAUUUCCCGUGUUUCCCGCGGAUGCCGUUCCCGGGAAACCUCGUCGGUUUCGCACA